UACGUAGGGGGCGAGCGUUGUCCGGAAUUACUGGGCGUAAAGCGCAUGUAGGCGGGCGACUAAGUCAGGGGUGAAAACCGUGGGCUCAACCUAGGAAUUGCGCUUGUGACUGGCGGGCUCGAGUACGGUAGAGGGGGGUGGAAUUCCUGGUGUAGCAGUGAAAUGCGUAGAGAUCUGGAGGAAUACCGAUGGCGAAGGCAGCCCCCUGGGCCUGUACUGACGCUCAUGCACGAAAGCGUGGGGAGCAAACAGG
rnacentral:rRNA from 1 species